AUUGAACGCUGGCGGCAUGCCUUACACAUGCCAGUCGAACGGUAACGGGCCUUCGGGUGCCGACGAGUGGCGAACGGGUGAGUAAUACAUCGGAACGUGCCCGAUCGUGGGGGAUAACGAGGCGAAAGCUUUGCUAAUACCGCAUACGAUCUACGGAUGACAGCAGGGGACCGCAAGGCCUUGCGCGGACGGAGCGGCCGAUGGCAGAUUAGGUAGUUGGUGGGUUAAAAGCUUACCAAGCCGACGAUCUGUAGCUGGUCUGAGAGGAUGAUCAGCCACACUGGGACUGAGACACGGCCCAGACUCCUACGGGAGGCAGCAGUGGGGAAUUUUGGACAAUGGGCGCAAGCCUGAUCCAGCCAUGCCGCGUGCAGGAUGAAGGCCUUCGGGUUGUAAACUGCUUUUGUACGGAACGAAAAGCCUUCUUUUAAUACAGGAGGGUCAUGACGGUACCGUAAGAAUAAGCACCGGCUAACUACGUG
rnacentral:rRNA from 1 species